UUUUAGGGCCUAGUGGGAGAUGUUGGUGUGAACGAUGUUAAUUCUACUGGUGAUACAUUAAGGGAUUCAACACGGGAAAUUCAGGAACCAGGUGACAUUUUGGGAGAUUAUGUCGAACCAGAGCCUUUUGGAUCACAAAUCCCUAUCAAGACAGCUGAUGUUAUCGUUGUUACUCCUGCUGCCAUACCUAUCAACGAAGGAAGCAACAUGUUAGUUCAUGAUAAUAUUGUGCAAGGUGUAUCUUCUUUUUCAUUUUGUGCCGGUACCGAUGAUUCUAAUCAAGUGAUGCCGCACAAUGUCGUUGUUGAGUUUGAGGGUAUUCAUGUUGGUAAGGAACUGGAAUAUGUGCCUCAGUAUGAGCUGGCGGAUGAAUUCCCUCCAACACAGAAUACUAUAACAAAAAUUGUCAUGACUUUGCGUAAAGAGAGGCGUCCUGGCCCUUUGCAAAUGUCUCCUUACAUGACAAAUUUUGGGUCAGCUUCGGGUAGUUCAGUUAAGUUGACAGAGAUAUUUGACAAAAAACACCCAUUUGAUAAUAAUUGCAUCACGGGGCGACAUGAUGCCAAGCUGUUCGGUGAAUUCUCAAAAUGGGUAAAAGAGGGGCUACUUGUUAGGCAUGAUAGCAGAUAAAAGAAAGAGGACCACUACAAAAAGGGUAAGGCAACACUGCCAACAUCCAUGGACUGUGGUAUUAAGAAAAUCAGCGACAAAAAUUGGUUCUACCUUUUAUCAAUGAAGGGUCAGAUGUGGAAUGACGAGCAUCUUGAUGUCAUGUUUUACUACUUAAAAAAAGCCAAAUAUGAUACAAAUAGCACAUACAAGUUUACC